CCCGGCGGUUCAAGUUUCUGCGCCCGGAGGACGCGGCCUUAGCCAAUCCCAGGGCUACAGGGCGCUUUUAAAAUGCAGGUACGGCUGCGGGGAGGGGGACGGUGGGAAAGGUAGGGCCGGGCUUCCCUUAAAGGCGACGCGCGAAAAUAGCAGUCGAGCCCCCUCCCCGGCCCGCGUCCCCGGUCCUCUUCCCUCUCCCCAGAUAAACAAAUACCCACGAUCCGGGCGACGGCGCCCCUUCUCCCUCCCGGGGGCACCAGAGUUCAGGGCAGUCGGAGACACAGCGAACAAUAGGACUGUGACAUGGGGGUCGCUCUUCCCCGCAGCAGGGCGGCUCUUUGUCCCCUUCCCUGCCCCCAGGCUCCUCCGCCCCCGUCCCCACCCGGGUCCCCUGCCGGAGCACGCGGCGGGGCUGCGUCUCCACUCCUAGCCCAGGGCUGAGCUAAACGCUGGCGUCCGCGCCCCUGCAGGGCCAGGGCCUUGCCAGCCGCGUCCCGCAGCGCGGUCAGUACUCUCUGCCCCGAUGGGGCGAGAGCUCCGGGAACCUGCCCCCUGCCCGGAGCGGCGCUCGGAGCCCCGCUCCACCUCCGCUCACUCGACCGCUAAAUCCCUGGGAUUCGGGAGAUAAUCUGCAAUUCGCGGGGUGGAAACCACUGGGAAGGGUGGGAAGGUCUCCCACUGGGGCCUGAACGCCGGGGUCCGGGGGCGCCGAGCCGGCCACAGAACUCCCCACCGGCGGCCUCGCGGGACCCCCGGGCUUCCCACUGCCUGUAAGUCUGUCUCGUUAUCCUCCGGUCCCCAAAGCGCAUUUACGGCGCGUCUACCGCCAGCAGGCGGGGCGGGGCGGGGCGGGGGGGGGUCCCUCCCCCGGAACCUGCAACGAGAUCAAAUCCGCGCACGCGACAGUGAGCGGCCCACGGCCUGGAGCGCGCGCCCGCGCAGCAGCUGAUGCCCCAUUUACAGUUGCUAAGCCGUUCAUUCAGCUGUGUACUCAGCGCCUACUCGCCGCGGGGCCUGCUCCAGCCCCGGGGGAUUCUGCAGGGCACCGAACUGCCCUCUGCGGGGGACUUGGCGUCCUGGGAGCAGGAUGGGGAGAAGAUAGACGAGCUAGAUCAGGAUGAGACUUGUCUUAAGUGCUGUGCGGGGCAUUAAGUCGAGCUGCUGUCAUAGAAAGCAUAAUCAGUUGCUUUAGAUCCAGCGGUCAGGGAGGUGGGGAGGCACAUCUAAGCUGAAGUCUGAUUGGCAAGGUACAAAGAUAAGGGGAAGGGCAUUCCAGGCAGCAGGAACAGCCAGUGCCAAGGCCCUAGGGCUGGCCUGUUACAGACCUGUUCCAAGAAGGCCAGUGGGGCUGGGGGUGGGCCAGGGAAGAGGCGUGAGAGCUGAGGUCAGAGGUCAGAGGGGCCAGAUCAUGUAUGAUUCCAAGACAGCUGGGGAGGCAGUGGGGUUUUAGCAGGGAAGCAACAUGACCUGGUUUACCUUUUUAAGAGGCUCACCCUGGCCCACAUGUUGAGAAGAGAUGGAGGGGAGUACACAGAGAGGUCCAGAUUCAAUAUCUCAUCUCCCACCCGUUCGCCACUCUCUCCAGACAGAUGGUCAGGGGAGGGUGGUGGGGAGAGGAUGGGCUGAGCACAGCUUCCAAGGUUAAACCCCAGGGAUGCUGAGGGUCUCCCAGGCCCUGCCCAAGAGAACCAGCUCCUGAGGGGAGGGGACAUCCUCCCCUCUGAGGCACUGCUCUGCUGGUCCAGCACAGCUCAGUUUGGGUUUAGAGAGGGAGGGGCUUUCAGCUUCUGCCUGGGGGAGCUGCAGGUCUGUCUCAACCCCCAGGAAGCCAUAUUAACUUCAAGGAGCUCCUUGCAGGCUCCCUGCAGAAUGAAGCCUGUGCACAGAGUUGCUCCCUGGAGAUCGAAGCGUAAACGUUGGAUACACCAUAGGAAAAACCCACCAGCUCACCAGGGAAGUUGCUGAGACAGCACUGUGCUUUGUGAGAACCCCCUCCCCGUUCGUGCAUGGCUCCUGGUGGUUCCUGGGGCCUGUUAUCUCUGCCCCCUGAUCCUCCAGAGCUGGCAGCUUCCGCUGAACUUCCAAGAAGAAAGUGAAGCCUCUAUCUAGGUGGGGUUUGUUUGCGUCAUCUACAGGCUGUGUGGACCAAGGACCAAGAGUUCCUCUGUGGAGUCUUGAUAGCUUUGCUCACAUCCUCAGGGUAGAACAAAGACAAGGUGCUAGUGGUGGUGGUACUGGGUGGUUUGAGGGAGGGUCUCUCUGCUCCCCACACCAGGGCUGGGAAUGCUUGGGCAGAACAGGACAGGACCAGAGGAGGUGAGAGGGCCCAGGGCUGAAACAGCGUCCUGAAGGAAAAGGGACUCCCCAGGCCAGAGCCCCCUCCCGGAGGGCCCAUAUCGCAGGGUCCAGCAGUAGGUGCCAUGCCCCCUGGAGUACUCACAGCCCAACAGAACCAGGAUCCCAAAAUGUCAACGUGACUUUGCCUUUUUUUUUUUUUUUUUUUUUUUUUUGGCUAAGACAGGGUCUCACUCUGUCUCCCAGGCUGGAGUGCAGUGGCAUGAUCUUGGCUCAGUGCAGCCUCAACCUCCGGGCUCAAGAGAUCCUCCCACCUCAGCCUCCUGAGUAGCUGGGACCACAGGCACCACCAUGCCUGGCUAUUUUCUUUUCUUUUCUUUUUUCCCCCAUAGAGACAGAGUCUCACUGUGUUUCCCAGGCUGGUCUCAAACUCCUGUGCUCAAGCAAUCCAAUUCUCCUGCCUCAGUGACUUUGCUUCUUAAGCCCCUUGGUCAUGACAACUCUGCUUUGUUAUGAAAACAGUGAAACCAAAUCAUGGUGCACUAACAGUCAUACUGUAGGUGCCCAGGGAAAGUAGCUGUGAGUCUUUUCAAAAUAAAGGUGCCCCACCAACAUUCUACCCCCCUUUUUUUAAAGACUCUCCCAGGAUGUGUGUGUUCAUUUAGAGCCACACACAUUUGUGAGAGCCAGCAGGGGCUGAGAACCGGUACGCUAACACACGGUAGAUGCUAAUACAUGGUAGACAAAAUACUCCAAAACCUAGGGCCUGUGGGGGGAGUACUGGUACAAGCUGGUGACAAGCAGAGUGUGCCCCUCACUUUCAGGGGGAAUGGACUUUCUUACUCUUCUCUAUGGUUGGGGCUGUGAGCUCCAACCCCAGAGGCAGUACCAUUUGGUGUUUGCUGAGUGAAUGUCAAACCUCUCAGUACGUGACAGAUUGAGUCUGAGGCUUCAUUUUGAAGGUGAGGAAAAACAGAGCCCCAGAAGGGAGAUGCCUGGCCCAAGGUCACUUUCAUUCAUUAGCUCACUGAACAUAGAGGAAAUCUAUGAGUAUAUAUGCAUUUAUACACAAACACAUUUAAAUGGGAAUAUAUAUAUACACAUUGCAAUGCAUUGUGGUAAGUACUGCAAAUGAGAAUGGGCAGAACACAUCAUUGUGGGAGCAUGCUCAGGCACUGGGAGUGGCUUCCUAGAGGAGGUGAAUCUUGAAGGAGUUUGUCGUCUUGUGGAGUGGGGAGGAGGCUCCAGGUGGAGGAAGCAGUACAAGCAAAGGCCCAGAGGUGAGCAGGCGAGGGGUGUGGAGAGACACUAUUACACCUUGCAGCUGGGGUAUACAGAAGGGAACAGCAGGGUGGGGAAAGUCGGGAAGAGGUUGAGCGAUGGAGCUGGGCAGAGGAGGGCUUUGUAAGCCUCAGAAGGAAGCUGGACCCUUUCCCUGGGAGCUCUGAUAUCUAAUAAUAAUGGCAAUGACAAUGACAAUAACCAACACCACCUGCCGCUUAUCCUAGACUCAGUAUAUGCCAAUGAUUCUAACCUGUCCUCUUUUGAGGGUUAUAAUAAACCUAUGAGGAGGUGUCAUUAGCCCUUCGAGGAUUGAACAUGGGUUCUUAUUGGCUGGUUGUUUGCCUCCAAGAAGCUCAGCUCAUUGGGCGUGAACUUACAGGCAGUGUUCAGAGGCUUGUGGACACCCAAGGACUCUGGUAUGGCCAACAAAGUGUUUGGUGGUAGCUGAAUCUUCUUCAGGACAGUGAGGCAAUGGUGGCUGACCAGGUCUGGGCCAGACUAUGAGGUAUCAUCCUGAAAGGCUACCAGCAGCAAGAAGUCAGGGUCCACUGAAAAGUGGUUAAGUGUUACUAAUAUGGACAAUGUUGACUGGGCACUUUCUAGGUACCCAGCACUGUGCUAGAGUUCCACAUAGAUUGUCUCACUGACUCCUCACUGAUGCGGUAAGAACCCUCUGUUCCCAUUUUACAGAGUAAGAAACUGAGGCUCACACAGGUUAAGUCACUUGCCCAAGGUCACAUGGCUAGCAAGUGGCUGAACCAGGAUUUGAACCCAGGACCAUCUGAGCUCCAGAGUGUAUCUGACCCCAUAGACUACUGUCUCCCACACCUCAGUUUCCCUUCUCAAGAAGGAGGAAUGGGGUGGAUGCUCUGCGAUGUCUCUUCUGCUGUGACUCUGGUUCUGUGAUGCUGAGUGUCUGCAAGGUGCCUGGACCCAUGUUCACCACCCACUUCCUCCUGCUUCAGGCUUUUCCAUGUUGUGACCAAGCCUCAGUGGCUCUGACGCCUCUGGAUGGCACCUGUGGUCAGAGCUCUCCAGCUAUUUCUACUGAUAGAACACUGCAUGUCAUUAGCUCAGUCUCCCUGCAACUCUAUCACUGUCUGGGUGGGUGACCCUAGACCAGUCCCUUGUCCUCUCAGAGCCCCAGUAUUCUCAUCCAAGCCCUCCCUGACAGAGCUAGUGUUAAGCACUUGGCAGAGCUCUUGCAAAGCUCUGGGGAGGGGAGCCACGCUUCCUUUCCCAUCCUCUGCACCAGGACUAUCUUCCCAUGAGGAUAUUUCUACCCAUUUUCCAGAGGCAAACACUGAGGUCCAGUGAAACAAGGAUUGUCCAGGAAACCCCAUGCUUGCCCCUGGCAGACUGGGCUACAAAGGAUUCUGGGUAUGGCCCUGGGCUGCCACCUUCUUCCUUUUGGGGUGGGGCCAGCCCAGAAUAUGGGGAUCCUCAAGAACACAGAGUUCCGAGGUCAUGUGUCUCAACUCCCACAUUUAUAGGUGGGGAAACCGCAUGAAGCUGGGACUGCCAGUUUCCCUACAUGCUGGACCGCCAGGGGCAGCAGUGAGAGGGCUAGGGGAGGAUGGGUUCCUUCAUCCCCACUGUUAACCAUCGUGCCAGGCACCUUUCUGGAGCUCAGGAAGUCCGCACUGCACAGGACGGCUGCCUAGAACCGCUGAUGUUGCAAGGCAAGGGUGCAGCUGAAGCCCAAAGGGCCUCACAUGUUGACAAAAAGCCUCAAGUAUAACCUGAUGGCAGUGGGGAGCCACAGAAAGGCUUAGAGCAGAGGAGAGAUCUGGCCAGACUUGUGUGUGAUUAGAAAGCACUCAACAGGAGGUUUGAGGGGAGAUCACUGAGACUAGCAGACAGUGAGAAGGCUUUGAGGCCAGGCAGGCCAGAGCCAGAGCCAAGUGUGAUGGAAAUAAAGAGAUUGAUGGGGGCUGUCAGCAUCUGACCCCUCCCUUUCCAUGACUUCCCAGCCAGAGCCAUGGAAAUUCUCCGCCUGCCCCUUUAGCUGCUGACAUCUCCUCACACCAUCGCCUGAUGGAACAAGACAAGAGGGAGGCUCAACAUACUGGGGAAACUGAGUCAGGGGAGUUCUUUGCAGAGCUGGCUAUUGCCUCAAUGCACUUAAUAUUAUUCUUAUGGUGAACUGGUUCAUAUUACAAAGAACACUGAGAAGCAUAUGCCUGGGAGCCCACCACCCAGACUAAAGUAUUACCACUUCUGCUUUUGAUGCUCCUGCAGCCCCUCCUGGUCACAGGUCCCAGCCUUCCCCGACCCAAGGGUAUCUGGGAAUCUCAGUGUUGUGUUGGUUAUUCCUGUGCUUUCAGCUUACCAUAUUUCUCCCUUAUAAGAUAGUGUUUAGACCAGGCACGGUGGCUCACACCUGUAAUCCCAGCACUUUGGGAGGCCAAGGCAGGUGGAUCACUUGAGGCCCGGAGUUCGAGACCAGCCUGGCUAACAUGACAAAACCCCCAUCUCCAGUGAAAAUACAAAAAUUAGCCAGGUGUGGUGGCAGGUGCCUGUAAUCCUAGCUAUUCAGGAGGCUGAGGCAGGAGAAUCGCUUGAACCCGGGAGGCAGAGGUUGCAGUGAGCAGAGAUCAUGCCACUGCACUCUAGCCUAGACAACAGAGCAAGACUCCACCUCAAAAAAAAAUAGUGUUUGAUUUUGCAUGCUUUUGAACUCUUUCAUGGCAUGGUCCUUCAUGUGUUCAUUUGCAGCGUGCUUCUGCCCUCAUUAUGUUGGUACAUGUAGCUGUAGUUCAUUCAUUUUCAUAGCCAUAUAGCAAGGUUACUCAACCUCAGCGUGGUUGUGAGGGGCUACUGUGUGCAUUGUAGGACAUUCACCAGCAACCCUGGCCUCCACCCAUUUGACGGAAGUAGUACCCCUGUCCCCCACUUUAAAAACUAAAAAUAUUUUCAUACAUUGCCGAAUUGCCCUUGGCUAAGAACUACUGCUAUCUUAGAUCCAUUGCAUGCAUAUAUUACCUUUACUUUUCUCCUGUUGAAGACAUUUGUUUCUAGUUUUGUUUGUUUGUUCAUUUGAGACUCUGUCACCCAGGCCAGAGUGCAAUGGUUCAGUCAUGGCUGACUGCAGCCUUAACCUCCCAGACUCACUCAAGUGAUCCUCCUGCCUCAGCCUCCUGAGUAGCUUGGACUACAGGCUCUCACCACCUGUAAUUUUUUUUUUUUUUUUUUGAGAUGGAGUCUCACUCUGUCACCCAGGCUGGAGUGCAAUAGCACUAUCUCGGCUCACUGCAACCUCCACCUCCUGGGUUCAAGUGAUUCCCCUGCCUCAGCCUUCUGAGUAGCUGAGAUUACAGGCAUCCACCACCACGCCCAGGUAAUUUUUAGUAAAGACAGGGUUUCACCAUGUUGGUCAGGCUGGUCUCGAACUCCUGACCUCAGGUGAUCCACCCACCUUGGCCUCCCAAAAUCCUGGGAUUAAAAAUGUGAGCCACCGUGCCUGGCCUUUUUUUUUUUUUUUUUUUUUAAAGAAAGAUUGGUUCUCACUAUGUUGCCCAGGCUGAUCUUGAACUUCUGGCCUCAAGUGAUCCUCCUGCCUCAGCCUCCUAAAGUGUUGGGAUUUCAGGUGGGAGCCACCAUGCCCAGCCUAGUUUUUGGGUUGUUUUUUUUUUUUCCUAUAAGCAAUGCCCUGUGGACCUUCUUAUACGCGUGUCCCAACGCACAUGAGUAUGAACUUUGCUCACAUCUAUACCAAGACAGAGAAUGUCAGGGUCACACAGUACACACAGGUUGGCUAGACAGUGCCAAAGUGCUUUCCAAAGAGCUGGGGCUAAUUCUUACUCCUGCCAGAAGGAUAUGGGAUGUGCCUUGCCCAUCCUCGGUGAUGUCUAGGGUUGUCACUCUGGUGGGCAAAGAUGCUUGUACUUUCUUUAACCUGCUUUGUCUUUCUUGAGGCUCUGUAUUAAUUUAUUCUCACCUGCUAUGAAGAAAUACCCAACACUGGGUAAUUUACAAAGGAAAGAGGCUUGAUUGACUCACAGUUCCGCGUGGCCAGGGAAGCCUCAGGAAACUUACCAAUCACGGUGGCAGGAGAGAGAAUGAGAGCCGAGCGAUGGGGAGAGCCCCUUAGAAAACCAUCAGGUCUUGUGAGAACUCACUGACGAUGAGAGAAACUGCCCUUAUGAUUCAACUAUCUCCACCUGGUCCCGCCCUUGACACGUGGGGAUUAUUACAAUUCAAGGUGAGAUGUGGGUGGGGACACAGAGCCAAGGCUUAUCGGGCUCUCAGAGCACAAGAGAAGCCCAGGCCAAAUUUCAUACUGGAGGUGCCCCAUGUAUUGGGAAUAAAACCCAGAAGAAGAAGAGGAAACAGCAGAGCAGGUUUACUCACUUGGGAUUUAAUUGAAGUGUUUGUAUUAAUCAAAUUGAUGCUUUCACAGGUACACAAAUACAAUGUAACAUGAUUUAUGCUACUUAUAAUUACGGGGUUUACAUCAAGUGACAGAUUCCAGGCCCCAGACACAUGGUCUUUCUUUGAGCCCAGCUGUGCACUUCUGUAACUGUUGCACCACUGUGCUGGGAGUGGUGAGGCCCAGGCCCACCCGUGAUAUGGGGGUGUUUCUGUCUCCUCCCCAGUGGUGCCCUCCUGGAGGAUUAAGCUUCAUUUUUCUCUGGGACUCUCAGUGCCUGGCCCCCGGGUUGCCCUGGGGGAGUCUGCAGCUGCACCCUCUGGGUCAGGUACCUCCAGCCCCCACAGCCUCUGGACGGCUCACGUCCCAGGCCUUGGGUGCUGCCCUAGGCCUGAGGUCUACAACCUCACAAAGCCGCCCCACCUGGCCCUACCCUGCCCUGACCACUGCAGAGAUCUGAGACCAAUCUCCUCCAGUGCCUGAAUAUUUCAUGCAGUGAGGGUGGAAUGAAAGUCGCAAAGACCUUAAUUGUUAAUGUGGCUUCUGCUGGCUGCAGGCCCAGCCCUCCCAGCCCCCUCCUGUUUGAUACAACAACAGCAGUAACAGUAAUUCCUCCUGCACCCCAGGCCUUGUCGUGACCUGCCCUGGGCGAGGCUGGCCUGAAAUGAAGUUGUCUGAGGAGCCCCAGCUGGCCAGAGAGAAGUGGUGACUCAAGUAACUAUAACAACGAGACCAGGAGGCCCACUGUUCCCCAGUGACAAACUUCUUUUUGUUUUUUAGUUUUUUUUUUUAAUAAGCCUUAUAAUUUUAUUUUUGAAACUCCAUACAUGUGGUUUUUUUUAAUUAAUUUUUUUUUAGACAGAGUCUCACUCUGUCACCCAGGCUGGAGUGCAGUGGUGCCAUCUCGGCUCACCACAGCCUCGACCUCCUGGGCUCAAGCAAUUCUCACACCUCGACCUCCUGAAUAUCUGAGACUACAGGUGCAUACCCACAUCCCGCUAGUUUUUAUACUGUUUGUAGAGGCUGGUCUGGAACUCCUGGGCUCAAGUGAUCUGCCACCUCAGCCUACCCAAGUGCUGGAAUUAUAGGUGUGAGCCACGUUGCCAGGCCUGAAUGUGUUUUUAAAUUUAAAGUUCCAGGCCGGGCACAGUGGCUCAUGCCUGUAAUCCCAGCACUUUGGGAGGCCGAGGUGGGCAGAUCACUUGAGGUGAGGAGUUCGAGACCAGCCUGGCCAACAUGGUAAAAUCCCAUCUCUACUAAAAAUACAAAAAAAUUAGCCGGGCGCAGUGGUGCACACCUGUAAUCCCAGCUACUCAGGAUGCUGAGGCAGGAGAAUCACUUGAACCCAGGAGUGGGAGGUUGCAGUGAGCCGAGAUCAUGCCGUUGCACUACAGCCUGGGCGACAGAGUGAGAUUCCAUCUCAAAAAUAAAUAAAUAAAAUAAAAAUAAAAUUCCUAGCAUAGAGCCUGGGAACUCAGUAAAUGUUUGUUGAAUGAAUGAAUGAUAAAGAAGGAAGCUGAGUUAAGUUGAAAAACCCUGGAUGUAAAAUCUGUGUCUCUGGCCUGACCCUUACCAGCAAGGUGGCCUUAGGCAAAGCUGCACUCCCUCUCUGAGCCUCUGGAUCAGGACCGGAAAAUAGGACCAUUUCAUCCUCCUUGUAGGAUGAGGAGAUAGUCAAGUGACAAGAAAAGGAGGCGUGAACCCCAGGCCACACGGUGAGGCGGGAGGGGAUGCUCUCCUCGAGAAAGGGCUGAGUCCUGUGGGUGCCCCGGAGCCCAGAGUCUUCCUGAGCGUCUGAAAACUGAACUGAAGAGCCAAGCCUUCUCUCAAGAGUAGCUCGCCCAGCUCAGCCCCAACACCAGGCCACAGAACUCUGCAAUGAGGAAGCUCCAUCUCAGCACCCUGAACUCACAGAGCCCCUGUGAGCAAAUCAGAGCCCAAGAGGCAGCUAGCUGGUCAGGCUCUCGGAGCAAGGGCAGCAGGUCAGCCCUUGGGCUCUCAGCCCCAGCCACCCUUAGAAUCACCGGAAAGCAUGUGAAAUGCAGAUGCUCAGGUCCCACCCCAGACCAAGUCCAUCAGAAUCUUGGGAGACAGUGAUUUAGCAGCCAGAUCUGCUCUGAGCUACAUGAGGCACUUGUUUGUUGGCAUCAGGCUGAGCUAGGAGACACUCCCAUUGCUGUGGGGUACACCCCUCCCCAAGCAUCUGACCUUAGAGAUCUUUCUCUAACGUUAUCCAGAUUCCCCAAAUAAUCCUCAAAUGUGCUACUUCGAAUGCAUACACCUAGUGACGCUGGAGGGGACGAGGGUUUCCGGAGGCCAGGAUAGCGUUCACUUAAUGCCCUGAUUUUUUUGUCCCGUAUCUAAUGGGAUAAAAUGAAAGGAAAGAAAGUAAUAAAGAUAUAAAAUCAAAAAAUUAUCUGGGACUCAUGGACACAAGUCUCUCCAUAAAAAGGGCCAGAAGAGAAGUGGAAAAUAGACCAUACUGGGCACAUUAUUGUAAAACUUCACAACACCAGGGUUGAGAAAAUCCUCAAACCAUGGUGCGUAGAGUGCGGAGAAAAGGAAUCAGAAUGAUGUUGACAUUCUCAACAGCAAGUCCAAAAACUAGAAGGUCAUGAAGCGAUGUCUCAGCAUCCUGAAGGAAAACUAUUUUAGUACCAAUGCAGUCCAGGGGGAGGGCAGAGUGAGACAUUUUCCAAUUAAAAAAA
rnacentral:lncRNA from 1 species